rnacentral:rRNA from 1 species
AACGGCCCACCAAGCCGACGAUCGGUAGCCGGUCUGAGAGGAUGAACGGCCACAUUGGAACUGAGACACGGUCCAGACUCCUACGGGAGGCAGCAGUGGGGAAUCUUCCGCAAUGGGCGAAAGCCUGACGGAGCAACGCCGCGUGAGUGAAGACGGCCUUCGGGUUGUAAAACUCUGUGAUUCGGGACGAAAGAUAAGUAGACGAAUAAUCUGCAUAAGUGACGGUACCGAAAAAGCAAGCCACGGGCUAACUACGUGCCAGCAGCCGCGGUAAAU